GUUCUUUCCGUUCUUUCCGUUGUUUCCGUUGUUUCUGUUGUUGUUCUUCACCUGUCACCUAAUUUUCUGCCUUAUGUUUCUGUCUCUGUGGAGGUUGUUUCGGUUGUUUCCGUUGUUGUGCUUGUCCUGUCACCUAAUUUUCUGCCUUAUGUUUCUGUCUCUGUGGAGGUUGUUUCGGUUGUUUCGGUUGUUUCGGUUUUUUCGGUUGUUUCCGUUGUUGUUCUUGACCUGUCACCUAAUUUUCUGCCGUAUGUUUCUGUCUCUCUGGCGGAUGUUUCCGUUAGUGUUUCCGUUAGUGUUUCCGUUAGUGUUUCCGUUGUUGUUCUUGACCUGUCACCUAAUUAUCUGCCUUAUGUUUCUGUCUCUGUGGAGGUUGUUAUGGUUGUUUCGGUUGUUUCGGUUGUUUCCAUUGUUUCCGUCUUCCGUUGUUCUUCUUGACCUGUCACCUAAUUUUCUGCCUUAUGUUUCUGUCUCUGUGGAGGUUGUGUUGUUUCCGUUGUUUCCGUUGUUUCCGUUGUUUCCGUUGUUUCCGUUGUUGUUCUUGACCUGUCACCUAAUUUUCUGCCUUAUAUUUCUGUCUCUGUGGAGGUUGUUUCCGUUGUUUCCGUUGGUUCCGUUGUUUCCGUUGUUUCCGUUGGUUCCGUUGUUUCCGUUGUUUCCGUUGUUUCCGUUGUUUCCAUUGUUUCCGUUGUUUCCGUUGUUGUUCUUGACCAGUCACCUAAUUUUCUGUCUUAUGUUUCUGUCUCUGUGGAGGUUGUUUCCGUUGUUUCCGUUGUUUCCGUUGUUUCCGUUGUUUCCGUUGUUUCCGUUGUUUCCGUUGUUGUUCUUCACCAGUCACCUAAUUUUCUGCCGUAUGUUUCUGUCUCUGUGGAGGUUGCUUCCGUUAUUAUUUCCGUUAUUUCUGUUAUUAUUUCCGUUAUUUCUGUUAUUAUUUCCGUUAUUGACGUUGUUAUUAAUUUUCCGUUGUGUCCGUUGUUUUCGUUGUUUU
ensembl:lncRNA